rnacentral:rRNA from 1 species
GACGAACCGUGCGAACGUUGUUCGGAAUCACUGGGCUUAAAGGGCGCGUAGGCGGUUUGGCAAGUCCGGGGUGAAAUCCUCCAGCUUAACUGGAGAAGUGCCUUGGAUACUGCUGAACUCGAGUGAGGUAGGGGUGAUGGGAACUUCCGGUGGAGCGGUGAAAUGCGUUGAUAUCGGAAGGAACGCCGGUGGCGAAAGCGCAUCACUGGACCUCUUCUGACGCUGAGGCGCGAAAGCCAGGGGAGCAAACGGG